AAUUUAAUAGACAAAUUCUUUGAAUACAAUUGUAUACAAAAUUUGGACACUUUUGCUCACAUUUCCAGCAGCCAAAUUCCCCGCAACAACGCCCAACCCACUAACAAAAUCUAGAAACCCAUUUCUCCACAAGAAGUCCAAACAAUAAUACAUCAGCAUACCAAACGACCCGCCAGACCCCUGUUCUUCUUCUCCAUCCACGAAAUCAUCCACGAAAACCGGAAAAAGCCACGACUCAGCCUAGCCACAAAGCAAACAACGAAGCGAAAGUAAACAACAGAGUUUCAAGGCAGUAGCUGCUUAGAUUUCCUUGGUUUGAUGUGCAUAUUUGGAUUUUGUGGUGGAAGAAUCGUUGUACUCUCAAGCUCGCUGCACUCCAAAAGGUAAUACUCAUUUCUGUUCUUAUCUUUAGUUUCAUGAUGCGCUGGUCAUAUGACUUUAUUGUAUGUGACAUUUAAAUGUUGAUUCAGAUUGUUUCGACUGCAAAUCAAUGAUGUAAUUGGCCUACUUUUAAUGUUGACUGUUUGGUUGUUUGUUGGAAGUCUUGAUGAGUCCGUUCAUCCCUCCCCGUGUCUGUUUUGGACUCUUUCUUCUUCUUUUUUUUUUAUCUUUGAUCUUGUUGAUUCUGACUAUUGAUUUCAUCUCCAAGAUAUUGCCUUGUUAAGCUAAAUCUUGAAAUUUCGGAUUGAUCGUAAUCGCUUGCCAUUAUAAUUAGUUUCAAUUCGUUAAGACUGUCAAAACUACAUAUGUUUGAGCUUUACUUGAACUAUCUGUAUCCGAUUUUAUUUCUUUUUCAGAAUAUGCAAUUUUAUACAUAACUUUUUUUACAUCUACUGGUCGUCUCUUUGCGCUAUUAGGAGUCUGGAAAUGACCAUUUGUUUUAUUUUUUAUAUGUAUAUAUAUGCAUGUGUCAUAAGUUUCUCUAGGCUUAGACUUUUGAUAGUUUAGUAAAAGAAUUUCAUCUUUUCUAUCCAUGUUUUAAUGCCCUCCAUGCUAAGUUUCUUUGUAGUGAUAAAAUUUAAAUGAACCGUAAUUGUUUGUUUGACACAUAGUUAGUUAUUCAUCUCUUUUAUUUUGGCCAUGGAUGAAUUGAUCAACAUCGACUUCGUUCAAUUAUAUAUACAAGCAUGUUGUUAGUGUUUCCUCAAAAUAAAAAAUAUUCUUUCAUUUCUUGAAUGCCAUCACUGCUAAUCACUCUCCUUUGAUGUCAUAAUUUUAAAAUGUCAUAUUGUAUAUUUUUUAUGCAUUGCCAUGAACAUUAAUCUUUAUCCUCCUUUUCUUGCAUGAACUCCCUUGGAUUGAGUCCACGAGGCUCUUCCCUUUCAUCUUGGGUUCGGCUGGAACCCGACACUCUAUCAUCGAGUCAGCCAAAGUGAUUGCAAGCCUCCGGAAAACCCAAAAAGGGUUGUAUACCAGAUGUAUACAGUUGUAUACGUUCAGUAUAAAUGGAUAUACAGAUCAAAAAUAGAAAAUACAAGGCUGAGGCAAAAUAUAGGUGUUCUGAAUGCAAGAAACGUAGCUCAUAUAUGAAAUAUAUACACUGAUAUACAAUAGAUCUAUACAGAAACGGGAGUUGAGCCUAAACCCAAAAUCAGCAGCGAAUUUGGCCCAAGAAAGGCCCAAAUUCAGUUUCUCCCUUGCUCUCCUAAAUUAUUUAAUCGUGAUUAUUAAUUGUUUGUUUUGAUUAACUACGGGUUUAUUUGAUUUUAGUUUAACUUAAUUAAAACCCCAGAAGAUGAACUAUAUUCUUUAUGUAAGUUUAUUUUAAUGAAAUUUCAUUCAUCAACUACCAAAGCAGAAUGUGAAUAUUACAUAAGCUAUAAAAAAACUCACCAAAGCUUUGUAAUUUUCUAUGUUCUCUUGGAAUUGUCUAUUUUCUCA